GCUCCACAGGGCCUGUGUUUGCCAGAUGACUUACAGAUGCAUCCCCAGAGACCUGGUCCCGUUUGUUCCACCCUCUUUGGCCCUGUGAAAUGUCUGCUUCUCCUUGGCAGCCUCUUGGUGCAUUUCAUGUACCCACCAAUGCCAAGGAAACGUGCCAGGCCCUAGGAACACAGGACAAAAUGAGGCCUUCUGGUCUCAGUCAGCUUCCAAUCUAUAGGGAAAUCUACCAUGUACAGAUGCAAAUAUAUACCCAAUAAAUAAGGGGAGCACCAUUAUUAUCUUCAAGCCAAGCUUUGGAGAGGCCCAGGAAAUCUAAGCGGGACAAGGGAGCAGAAGCUACAUUCCAGGCAGGGGGGACCAUCUGUGCAAAAGCACACUGAUGGAAAUGGAAUAUCCUGUGGGAGGAAUGGCAAGAAGGCCAAUGUGCUGGACCUUCAUAGAGUACAUGAAGCAGAAGCCCAUAGAAUGAGGCUGGAUAGGUGCGAGGGGACAGGUUGUGGAGGGCUUCGAAUGUCAGACAUAGGAGCCUGUAUUUGAUCUUGAAAGCUCCUGGAGUGAUAUGAUCAGACCUGUGCUUUCAGAAAAUCUCUUUGGUGACUGAACAGAGGAUGGACUGGAGUGGGAAGGGACUUGGGCAGGCAGAUCCCUUAGCAACUAGUGUGAUGGUCCAAUAGUGAGGGAUGGAGGGUCUGUACCAGUGUAAAAAGGGAGAGUAUCUGAGAGAGACUAAAGGAGUGAAAUGACCCAGAGAUGAGCCAGAAGUGAUAUUGACCAGAGAUGCCCUUGUUGUGAAAUUGACCAGAGGUGGGGCACAGGUGACAUUGACUAGAGAUGCCCUUGAUAUGAAAUUGACUAGAGAUGGGGCAGAGGUGAGAUUGACCAGAGUUGGGGCAGAGGUGAGAUUGACCAGAGAUGCCCUUGAUGUGAAAUUGACCAGAGGUGGGGCACAGGUGACAUUGACCAGAGAUACCCUUGAUAUGAAAUUGACUAGAGAUGGGGCAGAGGUGAGAUUGACUAGAGUUGGGGCAGAGGUGAGAUUGACCAGAGUUGGGGCAGAGGUGAGAUUGACCAGAGAUGCCCUUGAUGUGAAAUUGACCAGAAAUGGGGCAGAGGUGACAUUGACCAGAGAUGCCCUUGACGUGAAAUUGACUAGAGAUGGGGCAGAGGUGAGAUUGGCCAGAGAUGCCCUUGAUGUGAAAUUGACCAGAAAUGGGGCAGAGGUGACAUUGACCAGAGAUGCCCUUGACGUGAAAUUGACUAGAGAUGGGGCAGAGGUGAGAUUGGCCAGAGUUGGGACAGAGGUGAUAUUGACCAGAGAUGCCCUUGAUGUGACAUUGACUAGAAAUGGGGCAGAGAUGAGACUGACCAGAGAUGCCCUUGAGGUGAAAUUAACCAGAGAUUGGGCAGAGGUAGGAUUGAUCAGAGAUUCUCUUGAUGUGAAAUUUACCAGAGGUGAGAUUGACCAGAAAUGCCCUUGACGUGAAAUUGACCAAAGAUUGGGCAGAGGUGAGAUUGACCAGAGAUGCCCUUGAUGUGAAAUUGACCAGAGGUGAAAUCAAUAGGCCUUGGUACCCUCCCGGAUAAAAGGGGUAAAAGAGAAUGAAUCUAGGAUGACUUCAAGGUUAUGAACCUGAGGACUUUGGGGGAUGGGGGUACCUCACUGGUAUUGGGGACAGGAGAAGGGGGGAGGUAAUGAGUCAACUUUGGGCUCACUGCAGGCUGGAUGUGUCAAGAUUCUGCUCCAGCAUCCUAGGUCCCUGGUCCCAGCAUCAGUGGACACCACUUCUCCAUGGUCAUUUGGAAAAUGCACCUUCCUCACAGGAUGGUUGUGAAAAUGCGUGAGCCCCUCAACGAGUUUUUUCCUUUUUUUCCUUUGUCAUCAGCACCUAGUACAUAAUAAGUGCUUUCUUAAUGCUUGUUGUCUGAAUGAUAGACAUGAGAUUCUGUGACUCGUGGUGUCUCAGUGGCUCUAUGUCCAUAAAGGAACUACACAUCAUUUCUUAUUUUACCCUAAAGUCUGAGUCCCAGAGGCCUUUGCAGAUGGGUCUAGUAUAAGAGAAUUUUGGGAGGUGGGGAAGGGGGAAAACUGGAAUAGUUCCAAGGGCUCUUCCUAUCCCAGAUUGAACUAGAGCCCAGCUGGUCUCCUGUAAACUGAUCUGUUCAAAAUGAUUCUGCUUUCAGACUGUUAAAUGUAGGCUCCCCGAGAUGGGGACCAAUUCUGUUUUGAAGGGUCUUCGUAAACAUAGUAGUUGUUUGAUAAAUGCUGAAUGGAGUUAAGUGGAAUUGACUGGGAAGGAACAGUUCUCUUGCGCCUUCUCACCAAAGCCUC